ensembl:lncRNA AQP4-AS1 AQP4 antisense RNA 1
GUUGUCAGAGCAUUAAGAAGCAAGAGAGUAGAAUGUUACAGGGGGUGCUACAAUCACCCAGAUAAUAGCAGGAAGUAGGGUGGAGAGGCAUGUUAUAAAUCAGAAAGAAGAAUCUUCGGAGAAGGCUGGGAAGCAGGUGAUUUUUAGAGUUGAGGAAGCGGGCACACCUGCAAAACAGAAGAGAUUUUUGGAUGAAGGUUAUAGAACAGCAGUCUAGAGGCAGCAGUGGGAGCCAGUUUCUGUCCCUAGAUACUAGAGCUCCAAGAGCCUGGGAGAAUGACUCAUCUCUGCAGAAAGAGGUGGGAAGGAAUGUCGUUGCCAGGGGACCCAGUGGCUACGACAGAAAGAUGCCAAAAAAAGGGCUUCAGAAGCUGAUGGCAUAGUUAUGAGAGGGGUGAAGACUGCGACUGCAUUUCCAACAGACCCUGAGGACAAUUGGGAAGAAUGCGCUGAAUAUUUUUGAGCAAUUUCUAUAUGAUAAGCAGUUUUUAGGGCAAGUAUAGGUUGCACUGAUCCUGACCUUUUGGCCUGAGGAUGGAAGUCUUCAGUA